rnacentral:rRNA from 1 species
AACGAACGCUGGCGGCAUGCCUAACACAUGCAAGUCGAACGAGACCUUCGGGUCUAGUGGCGCACGGGUGCGUAACGCGUGGGAACCUGCCCUUAGGUUCGGAAUAACUCCCCGAAAGGGGUGCUAAUACCGGGUAAUGUCUUCGGACCAAAGAUUUAUCGCCUUUGGAUGGGCCCGCGUUGGAUUAGCUAGUUGGUAGGGUAAAAGCCUACCAAGGCGACGAUCCAUAGCUGGUCUGAGAGGAUGAUCAGCCACACUGGGACUGAGACACGGCCCAGACUCCUACGGGAGGCAGCAGUGGGGAAUAUUGGACAAUGGGCGAAAGCCUGAUCCAGCCAUGCCGCGUGAGUGAUGAAGGCCUUAGGGUUGUAAAGCUCUUUUACCCGGGAUGAUAAUGACAGUACCGGGAGAAUAAGCUUCGGCUAACUCCGUG